UUGGGCGGCGAAUGGUGAGCCAGGUCGUUAAGCGGAAAAACAUUGCAAUUGUGAAAAACUGUUCAAUAAAAUUGUAAAUUUACAAUAAAUCCGUGUUAUUUCCACUGGGAAGUGCAGACCAAAGAGAAGCGCCCGGUUUUGUGUAGCGAGCCGGUGUUGUUGUUUCGCUAGCUAGGAGCUGGAAGUCGACUCCGCGGAUGCGCGAUGUCAGUUUAUCACCACCAGCCGCUUCUCUCUCUGCUAACGAGCAAGCCAACAAAACAGUAGUAAUUCCGAUCAACGAAAGAUUAUUUCUCGGUGUGUGUCCAGUUGAUCCCGAGUCACUACAUUGAAUGAGGACCGACUCCUCUGCAGGCUGACCAUGGUGCUGACAGGGAAGCGGUCUGUGAAGGGACCAGUGUGUUGGGGGAGGAGGGUCAAGCGUGAGUAUAUGAGGCUACGCUACAGACGGGCCGACGAGGUCAAGACACACACACACAGACACAGACACACACAGAGAGAGAGGUUUCUGACAGUACGUUUUCUCCUCAGAGUAUGUUUAACUCUAACCGUCAUAGGAUCUUGGAGCGUACAGACAUCCUGAAUACUGAGUGGAAGUCCAGGAGGAUCCAGCCCCUUCACAUCAUGACAUCUGUUAGCUCCUUACGAGGGACCAGAGAGUGCACGGUGGACAGUGGUU